rnacentral:rRNA from 1 species
GACGAACGCUGGCGGCGUGCUUAACACAUGCAAGUCGAACGGAAAGGCCCUGCUUUUGUGGGGUGCUCGAGUGGCGAACGGGUGAGUAACACGUGGGUAACCUGCCCUUGACUUUGGGAUAACUUCAGGAAACUGGGGCUAAUACCGGAUAGGAGCUCCUGCUGCAUGGUGGGGGUUGGAAAGUUUCGGCGGUUGGGGAUGGACUCGCGGCUUAUCAGCUUGUGGGUGGGGUAGUGGCUUACCAAGGCUUUGACGGGUAGCCGGCCUGAGAGGGUGACCGGCCACAUUGGGACUGAGAUGCGGCCCAGACUCCUACGGGAGGCAGCAGUGGGGAAUAGUGCACAAUGGGCGGAAGCCUGAUGCAGCAACGCCGCGUGCGGGAUGACGGCCUUCGGGUUGUAAACCGCUUUCGCCUGUGACGAAGCGUGAGUGACGGUAAUGGGUAAAGAAGCACCGGCUAACUACGUG